UCUGUGAUUGUGUAGUGGUUAGUGCGCUGCGUUGAGGCUGCAGCAUCCCUGGUUCAAAUCUGCAUCACAGCA